rnacentral:rRNA from 1 species
GACGAACCGUCCAAACGUUAUUCGGAAUUACUGGGCUUAAAGGGUGCGUAGGCGGUUCGGCAAGUCGGAUGUGAAAUCUCCACGCUUAACGUGGAGGAGCCAUUCGAAACUGCCGUGACUCGAGUCCGGUAGGGGAGUGUGGAAUUCCCGGUGUGGCGGUGAAAUGCGCAGAUAUCAGGAGGAACACCGGUGGCGAAGGCGGGUCUCUGGGCCGAUACUGACGCUGAGGAGCGAAAGCGUGGGGAGCGAACAGG